rnacentral:misc_RNA from 1 species
AAAAGUCGUAACAAGGUAACCGUAGGUGAACCUGCGGUUGGAUCAUUAUAAAAUGAUAGCUCUUGGUUAGCGGUACUUUGGUAACCUUUCUAAGAGCUAAACACCUUUGUGCACCAUAAUUGUAUUUGGGUUGGACGUAUGAACCAACCCGCCUAUUAACUUCUAUUAUUUUGACUGACUUUUGUUUCUAUGAAUCAAAAACAACUUUCAACAACGGAUCUCUUGGCUCUC